GGAUAAUCCGUCCUGAGGUCCAGAGCGCAUGCGCAGAACACAAGCUAGGAUGACGGCAGUUCCUGAACACUGUGAGACCAAUUGGAAAAGUGCCAUUUUCAAUUCUUCAUCUAUAACUUGUGCCAAACCAAGGAGCAGCUUCUGGUAGGGGCGCCUGCAUUGUUUCACUGAGAUUAUUCAGCAGAGAAAUUUCCAUCUGUGGACUGGGGAAGACAGCAAGAGGACAAUGUCAGGCACACUCAGAGAUUCAGGGCUACGCACUUAUUUUAACGGGGAGCCAGUUUCAUCACUGAGUUGGGCGGAGCUGCCCUCUCUUGUGUAGAUCCGCUGAAGGAGCUCAGACAUCGUGUCUCCUCUUCAAUACAGACUGAUUUUCAAGUAACUCAAUCAAAUUCUCUGUGCUGAUUAACUUAGAACCACUUGCCCAGCAUGGAUGCUGUUUUAGUUUUAUUCUAAAUAAUAAAAUGUUGGAAACAAA
ensembl:lincRNA